rnacentral:rRNA from 1 species
GACGAACGCUGGCGGCGUGCUUAACACAUGCAAGUCGAACGCUGAAGACCUGGCUUUUGUUGGGUUGGAUGAGUGGCGAACGGGUGAGUAACACGUGAGUAUCCUGCCCUCUUCUUUGGGAUAACGCCCGGAAACGGGUGCUAAUACUGGAUAUUCACUGAUCUUCGCAUGGGGGUUGGUGGAAAGGUUUGUUCUGGUGGGGGAUGGGCUCGCGGCCUAUCAGCUUGUUGGUGGGGUGAUGGCCUACCAAGGCUUUGACGGGUAGCCGGCCUGAGAGGGUGACCGGUAACAUUGGGACUGAGAUACGGCCCAGACUCCUACGGGAGGCAGCAGUGGGGAAUAUUGCACAAUGGGCGAAAGCCUGAUGCAGCGACGCCGCGUGAGGGAUGGAGGCCUUCGGGUUGUAAACCUCUUUCGCUCAUGGUCAAGCCGCAACUGUGGGUUGUGGUGAGGGUAGUGGGUAAAGAAGCGCCGGCUAACUACGUG